GAUGAACGCUAGCGGCAGGCCUAAUACAUGCAAGUCGAGGGGUAGAGAAGAGCUUGCUUUUCUUGAGACCGGCGCACGGGUGCGUAACGCGUAUGCAACCUACCUUUAUCAGGGGGAUAGCCUCUCGAAAGAGAGAUUAACACCGCAUAAAAACACAGUACGGCAUCGUACAAUGUUCAAAUAUUUAUAGGAUAAAGAUGGGCAUGCGUGACAUUAGCUAGUUGGUGAGGUAAGGGCUCACCAAGGCGACGAUGUCUAGGGGAUCUGAGAGGAUGACCCCCCACACUGGUACUGAGACACGGACCAGACUCCUACGGGAGGCAGCAGUAAGGAAUAUUGGUCAAUGGGGGCAACCCUGAACCAGCCAUGCCGCGUGCAGGAAGACGGCCCUACGGGUUGUAAACUGCUUUUAUACGGGAAUAAACCCCUUUACGUGUAAAGGGUUGAAUGUACUGUAAGAAUAAGGAUCGGCUAACUCCGUGCCAGCAGCCGCCGUAAUAC
rnacentral:rRNA from 1 species